AUGGUAAAACAAAGUUAAAAUUGAGAACAAUUGUUUUGAAAACAAAGCUUUUGCUUGUACAUUGAAGCUUUGCACAGAGACCAGACACCAGUGUGAAACAUUGAUGUCACCAUACAAGAUUAUACCAGUGGCAGCCAUUUUUAAGGCCAGAAAUCAUUACACCAUUUGUCCAUAUAUUUCUGCUAUUCAUAAUUCAAAAGGGACCAAUACUGAUAUUUUCGUACAUUUACACCCGUUUUUAAUGGUUUUAUUGAUUGCCUGUGUUCACAUUAAUACACCAGUAAUAUUAUACCUAUAUCUGUAUUUGAAGAUUGUUGGCUACUUUUGGCAUGGUGUUAUCUUCCUGCCUUUCACUGUGUUAAUGUGUGAGUGUGUGUGUGAUCAUGUGUGACAGUGUGUGUGUGAACUGCAGCUAUCCUCCUAUCUAUGUGCUGGGAUGUUAGCAUGCUUUGUGGUAUUUUGGUGCGUAUAACAUCCUCAGUACACUUCAUUGACAACUUGUUCACCAUGUUAGGUACCUCAUACUAUCAGGUCACAAACUCAUUAAAAGAACAAAUCUUUUCUACUUACCACCUUUUGCCAAGAUAAAUGAGUUAUUUGUUAAAAGCAAGAGGUUUUCUUAUUAUUAUAUUUAUCAUUUCUUCAUACUAUUAAAGAGGUCAUGUUUCUGAUUAGAAAAGGAGUAUGUCCAAAUGGCUGUGUGCUUCAUGAAUUCUAUUGAGCCCUGCCCAAGUAGAACAGGCUGCUAUUCUUGUACAUGAUCUGUUUAGGCCUUUGUGGCCUUGUGUGCCCAAAUAUUGUAUAUUGAAGGAUCUUUGUCCGAACAUUAAUGUUACUUACGCCGCUUGUAUGUAUUGUGAUUAUGUAACCACCGUGAUGCCUAUGGACAUAAUUAAUUCGUGGGUACUAACAUUAAAAGCGUCAAAUGAAAUCUCCCUUGAAAUGAAAUAUUCAGUACAAACUUGGGUUAUAUUUUUCACAAGAUUGAACCUGGUGCAGCAACUUGCAUUAUGUUAUUUACAAGUCAACUGAUCUCUUUCUUUAUUUUAGCUUGAGUUCUUGGACCCAUUGGUGGUACCGGUAUAGUGUGAGAGCCGCAAGAGUUACCUCCCUUAGUUCUCUUUGCCUUGUCUGUUAGUUUGUGUCUAUGAACAGAAAGUUAUGUCAGACAUUUGCAGUCAUGACUAUGUCAGUUAAAGAAUCCUCUUUUAAAGCAGUUAUAUGUAUGAGUGUCAACUUUCUUCUUACUACUGUGCAUUAAAAAACGCCAUAGACAAAAGAAGACCCACCACCACACACCCUUGCUGACUCACCUUCAGAUGAAUGGGUGGCAUGUCACAUGACUGAAGUGCUUAUGUAUCUGUCACAUGACUGAAGUGCUUAUGUAUCUAUCAUAUGACUGGAGUGCUUAUGUAUCUAUCAUAUGACUGGAGUGCUUAUGUAUUUGUAACAUGACUGAAGUGCUUUGCCUUGAGUCUUACAUGGUACUUCGCCAUCUUGCUUGAACAUAGAAUGUCCUUACAUGUUCGACACUGACCUUGAGUGUCUAACACGAAGCCAGUGCCAACCAUUAGGAUGUUUUCAACCAAAUUCCACCAAUCUGAUUAACAUGAUGCCAGUGUUUUCACCUGUCACUGACAAUUAUUGUCAUGUGUCAAAUCAUGUGAUAAAAAUGUUUGUGAUGCAAAAGAUGAUAUAUUUUCAUCAAAUCCAUAAGUUAAUCAUGCUAAAAUCAUGACUACUUUUUCUUGGAAACCUUAUUUUUUCUACACCCCAGUGAUCCUAAAUGUUCUUAACAUGUCUCAGGUUGUCUGGCUUUUGUCUGAUUUGACAACUGAUUUGUGCCCGAGUGUUUGACAUACAAGCUAAACAUUCUUUUCCAAACCUGGGACCACGCUAUUGUAUAGACAAAUUUCAGCUGUUUAUUUCCCUAUCAACUCAACACUAAUGACCUUUAUUUAGACCAGAUCAAUAUCAUUGUACAAGGGUAGAUACUGAGUUGUCUCCCCUUUUCAGUGUUUACCAUUAUGCAGAUCAUCAACAGUGCUGUAUUGUUUUCACGACAGACGUGAAUCAUCAUCCCUGCUCAAAUGUGAUACAGUAAGCAUUUAUCUUCAAAGAAGAAAUCAAAAUGGUGUGACAAGUAUUGUAGUGCCUUACCUGAUAGCCUGUCUCUUAGAGUAGCACGAGGUCAUGUGUCUCUCCACUGGCAUCCAUUGAGCAUUGCCAGGACAUCCUCAUUCAUUACAUAGAUAUGCUAAUUGCCAUUUCAUGCAGGUUUGUUAGUAUCAGAAGCAGAAUAUGUGUGUCAUGUAAGAGGCCUAUAUUUUCAUGCCUUUGUAUGCCAGCAUGCCCUCAGCUAUUUCAGUAACCAUGGCAACCAGGGUGCCUUCAUGUCUUUGUCUAUAACCUUUCCAGGAUGAGACUUAAACGAGUACCUUUUGCUGUCAGUACAGAGCGUGGCCACUUUUACAUCUGCCUUCAUAAUGUCAGCUCAAAUCCUGUGGAAUGUCACAUAAUCACAUAUCCCCACCACCGUCAGUUGUCUCUGGUUGUGUUCAGUAUUAACUUUUUGCAGCAGUUUGUAAUAAAUUCCCAGUGUCAUUUUACAUCUGAUACCUAGUCGGCAAGAUGUGUACAACAGAAGCAUCAUUCCAUGGCCUCUUUCCGUCCACAUAUUCAAUGACCACAAUAUGUUCAUGUCAACCUCCAGCCCGGUGUGAGCUCACUGGCUGCCAGCCCAAUUGCCAGUUGCAAUGUCUAUAGGGAGCAUGCAGUGUGCAGCCCCACCUUCCAAAGACCAUCCUGCUACUGGGAGGUGCUUCAUCAGCCUUAGAUUAAGACCAGCUCCAGUGUUCUUGAAGUCACAGUGCUUGUUGCCCUCACCUUGAUGCCUUGACCCACACAGACAUUCACUGACCACCAGUCACCACCCCCAUUCACCCACUAACUUUCACCGACCCUGACCCACAUUGGAAUAUUUACCAUCCAUAACCCUUGCACAUUUUAACCAUAACCCUAAUCUGUAACGUUCACUUUGAAUUUUUAUUUUGAAGUAUUCCAUAAUUUAGCUAGGGGGCUAUGAUUAUAAAAUAUUUUAAGUCAGAGAAUACGGGAAGAAUUUUACUCACACAUUCACACAAUGACUCACAUUUGCCGAGUCACAUUCACUGACCUGCAUCGUCCCUAUAUCACAGACCCUUUUGUCAACAGCUAAACAUUAGCUCUCCAAAUGUCCACUAUACGGCCAACCUGAAAGUUACAUGUCUCAAAAUAUCCAAAUCAUUUUGUCAGCCUUGCCUACAAAGUUCCGCCCACAAAUCUAACUAUGCAUCAAGUUCCCCCCACCGAUCACACCGCUAACCCCACCACCCCAGGUAAGCUAACUACCUGUAGGUACUGCCAGUAUCCCAUCACAACACUGCCUGUUCUCAUACUGACAUCUUCAUUUUGUACAAUGUUUUUACCAAGGGACCAAUCUGAUACAUAUAUGUAUAUUCCAUUUACAAGUAAAUACAAGCCAAAUGUGAUUGAAUAAUCAGCACUAUUAAAAGCCAUUGACAAAACUGUUACCACAGUGACAGGUAAGUCUUUUGAAGUCAUUCCAGGCAGUUUUGCAGCUACCAUGUUCCCACUAUCUGUUCAGCAUAGAUUCCGGGGUAUGAAACCAGGAAUACCUGUUAUAGAUAUGCCUUUGAUGUAUAGUUGUAAGCUCUCCUCUGGUUAGUAGCAAGGAUAUACAGGAUUAUCUUUGUUGAAGUCAACAUGUUUCCCUUAGUGUGGACAACAUGAUAAUGUUCAUGUGGACCAGAGUGUGAUGCCUGAUGAUGAUUGUGUGGACAAGUCAUUGUUCUCAACACAAUCAUCUUUUCAUGGACAAUUCACACUUGUCUACAUAUGUAUCUUUGUGGACCAGAUUCAUGAGUAUCUCUCUGUGGACCUCUGGCAGUUGUCAACAUGGAUUAUCUUUGUGUGGACCACUUGCAUUGUCGACAUGGAUUAUAUUUGUGUGGAACACUGCCAGUUGUCGACAUGGAUUAUAUUUGUGUGGAACGCUGCCAGUUGUCGACAUGGAUUAUCUUUGUGUGGACCCCUUGCAGUUGUUGACUUGGAUAAUCUUUGUGUGGACCAGUUGCAGUUGUCGACAUGGAUUAUCUUUGUGUGGACCACUUGCAGUUGUCGACAUGGAUUAUCUUUGUGUGGACCACUUGCAGUUGUCGACAUGGAUUAUCUUUGUGUGGACUGCUGUCAGUUACCCUGAUCAUCUUGAUAUGGACAACUACCAGUGAGAUACAUGAUUCUGUAGUUCUAGGAACGAGGGGGUAAAGUUGUACAAAUUCUUAUGAAAUAUGCAGAUGUUAGACAUUAUCUAAACAAUCCAAUAAUUUUAUGCACGUAACUCAUCUAGUGAAAUAAAAUAUCUCUUAUAAUA